rnacentral:rRNA from 1 species
AGAGUUUGAUCAUGGCUCAGGACGAACGNNGCGGCGUGCUUAAUACAUGCAAGUCGAGCGAGGUUACUGUUUUGGAUCCCUUCGGGGUGAAGAAGCUUUAACCUAGCGGCGGACGGGUGAGUAACGCGUGGGUAACCUACCCCAAAGUCCGGGAUAACAGCGGGAAACCGCUGCUAAUACCGGAUGCCUUUACCUUGGGGCAUCUUGAGGUAAAGAAAGGCAACGCUUUGGGAUGGGCCCGCGUCCCAUUAGCUAGUUGGUGAGGUAACGGCUCACCAAGGCGACGAUGGGUAGCCGGCCUGAGAGGGUGGACGGCCACACUGGGACUGAGACACGGCCCAGACUCCUACGGGAGGCAGCAGUAGGGAAUAUUGCGCAAUGGACGGAAGUCUGACGCAGCGACGCCGCGUGAGCGAUGAAGGUCUUCGGAUCGUAAAGCUCUGUCCUUGGGGAAGAAGGCGAAAGCUUGACGGUACCCAAGAAGAAAGCCCCGGCUAACUACGUGCCAGCAGCCGCGGUAAU